rnacentral:rRNA from 1 species
AGGACGAACGCUGGCGGCGUGCUUAACACAUGCAAGUCGGGCGGAAAGGCCCUUCGGGGUACUCGAGCGGCGAACGGGUGAGUAACACGUGAGUAAUCUGCCCCUAGCUCUGGGAUAGCUCCGGGAAACCGGGAUUAAUACCAGAUACGACCACUUUAGACAUCUGUUGUGGUGGAAAGAAUUUUGGCUAGGGAUGAGCUCGCGGCCUAUCAGCUUGUUGGUGAGGUAACGGCUCAACAAGGCGACGACGGGUAGCCGGCCUGAGAGGGCGACCGGCCACACUGGGACUGAGACACGGCCCAGACUCCUACGGGAGGCAGCAGUGGGGAAUAUUGCGCAAUGGGCGAAAGCCUGACGCAGCGACGCCGCGUGGGGGAUGAAGGCCUUCGGUUGUAAACCCCUUUCAGCAGGGACGAAGCGAAAGUGACGGUACCUGCAGAAGAAGCGCCGGCUAACUACGCGCCAGCAGCCGC